GGCAGUGGCAGUUGUAGGGCCAGGGGCGGUUGUAGGACCCGGAGCAGCCGGACAUGGAACAACCGUGGCCGCCUCCGGGACCUUGGAGCCUCCCUCGGGCCGAGGGUGAGGCUGAGGAAGAGAAUGACUUGGACGUGUUCCCCAGUUCUCCCCGCUGCCCGCAGCUGCCGGGCGGCAGCGCCCAGAUGUAUAGCCAUGGAAUUGAAUUGGCUUGCCAAAAGCAGAAAGAGUUUGUGAAGAGCUCUGUGGCGUGCAAAUGGAAUCUUGCUGAAGCUCAACAGAAACUUGGUAGCUUAGCACUGCAUAAUUCUGAGUCCUUGGAUCAGGAGCAUGCCAAAGCACAAAUAGCAGUAUCAGAACUGAGGCAACGGGAAGAAGAAUGGCGACAGAAAGAAGAAGCUCUAGUGCAAAGAGAGAAGAUGUGUCUGUGGAGCAUGGAUGCCAUUAGCAAGGAUGUUUUUAAUAAGGUAUGACCUUUUACUAGGCCAUAAUGAAAGAAGAAAAACAAGUGUUUGUACAAACCAGUUGUGCGUAUUUGGUAGCAAAGCAGCAGAAUCACAUAAACAGUGUUCAAUUUUGACAGUUUAUGAAAGGUGCUUGAAAAGUUUAUGAAAGUCAAACAGUCUCAAAGCUCUUGCUGUAGAGCCGCAGACUCCAGGCAGUUAAGUGACCAGUCUGAAAUACAUAUUUAUAUAAAUGUACUGCUGAACAAAUAUUACAUAUAUUAAAAAACAUUCACAAAAAUUUGUUAUAAGGAUGGGAAAAUAUAUCAGUUAUGAAAU
rnacentral:sRNA from 1 species